UACGUAGGGGGCAAGCGUUGUCCGGAAUUAUUGGGCGUAAAGAGCGUGUAGGCGGUCCGGUAAGUCAGCUGUGAAAGUCAAGGGCUCAACCCUUGAAAGCCGGUUGAUACUGUCGGGCUAGAGUCCGGAAGAGGCGAGUGGAAUUCCCGGUGUAGCGGUGAAAUGCGCAGAUAUCGGGAGGAACACCAAUGGCGAAGGCAGCUCGCUGGUCCAUUACUGACGCUGAGGUGCGAAAGCGUGGGGAGCAAACAGG
rnacentral:rRNA from 1 species